rnacentral:rRNA from 1 species
GAUGAACGCUGGCGGCGUGCUUAACACAUGCAAGUCGAACGGAAAGGCCCAAGCUUGCUUGGGUACUCGAGUGGCGAACGGGUGAGUAAAACGUGGGUGAUCUGCCCUGCACUUCGGGAUAAGCCUGGGAAACUGGGUCUAAUACCGGAUAGGACCACAUUUUGGAUGGUGUGGUGGAAAGUUUUUCGGUGUGGGAUGAGCUGGCGGCCUAUUAGCUUGUUGGUUGUGUAAUGGCCUACCAAGGGGGCGACUGAUAGACGGCCUGAGAAGGUGUACGGGCACAUUGGUACUAAGGGAGGGCCCAGAAGCCAACGGGAGGCAGUGGGGGAGAAUAUGACGCAGUGGCGGCAAGCCUGAUGCGGCGAUGCCGGGUUGGUGAUAACAACCUACGGGGGAUGAACAACUUUCGAAAGGGACGAAACGGUAGUGACGGUACCUGGAGAAGAAGCACCGGCUAACUACGUG